rnacentral:lncRNA from 1 species
GGUUGGAGUUCCACCAGAAAAGUCUAUAUCUACCUCUCCUGUUACUCUAAUAUCCUCUUUUCCCCAUUUUUUUCUUCUCUGAUUGUUUUUUUUCUUUCUGUUCUAAUUCUCUGUUCUUCUUCAUUCUUCUUUCUUCAUUCUUCUUUCACUCUUAUUUUGUUCUUCUUCUUUUAUUUUGUUCCUGUUCUCUUCUCUACUUCCGUGCUUUUUCCAUCACUCUUUCUCCUCUUUUCUCUACUUGGCUAUAUUUCUUGUUCUUCUCUUUUAUUUCUUUCUUCUUCUCUCUUUCGACUUUCUUCUCCGCUUCUUGUUUUUUCG